rnacentral:rRNA from 1 species
UCUCAGUUCGGAUUGGAGUCUGCAACCCGACUCCAUGAAGCUGGAUUCGCUAGUAAUCGCGCAUCAGCCACGGCGCGGUGAAUACGUUCCCGGGCCUUGUACACACCGCCCGUCAAGCCAUGGAAGCCGGGAGUGCCUGAAGUGCGUGAGCGCAAGCAGCGCCCCAAGGUAAAACCGGUGACUGGGGCUAAGUCGUAACAAGGUAAC